rnacentral:misc_RNA from 1 species
UCUUAACUCUGGUUACUUCAUUUUUUUUAACAAGGGUCAAAAUUGUUAUUUUUUUAUUGCUUAUGUGUCACAAAUAUUUUAGAAUAAGCCACCUAGCAUGCCAUGUAGGCUGGGGAACAAACCCCCCUAAUUCAAUUCAAAAUUUGGAUAAAAUUUUCUCCAAUUUUGAAAAAUUGGACUAUUUUGCCAAAAUUGAAACAUUUGGAGUAAG